rnacentral:rRNA from 1 species
AUCCUGCGGGAGGUUGCUGCUAUGAGGAUUCGACUAAGCCAUGCAAGUCAGAUAUUUAUUUAUCGGCAGAAUGCUCAGUAACACGUCACUAACUUUAGCUAUGGUCAUCGAUAACUACGGGAAACUGUGGGUAAACGAUGAUAGGAGAACUUUCCUGGAAUGGUGUUUCUCUGAAACUCGUGCCAUAGGAUAGGUCGGCGGCGGAUUAGGUUGUUGGUGAGGUAAAGGCUCACCAAGCCUAUGAUCGGUAGGGGCCUUGAGAGAGGUAACCCCGAGAAGGGCACUGAGAUACAGGCCCUAGCCCUACGGGGUGCAGCAGGCGCGAAACCUUUACAAUGCACGAAAGUGUGAUAAGGGAAUCCCAAGUGCUUUGCUUUUAGUAAGGCUUUUGCCAAGAGUAAAUACCUUGGCGAAUAAGUGGUGGGUAAGACUUGUGCCAGCCGCCGCGGUAACACCAGCGCCACAAGUGGCAACCAUUUUUAUUGGGCCUAAAGCGUCCGUAGCCGGUUUAGUAAAUUUUCUGUGAAAUCGUUAGGCUUAACUUAACGGCAUGCAGGAAAGACUGCUAAACUUGGGACCGGGAGGCGUCAGAGGUAUUCCUGAGGGAGCGGUAAAAUGGGAUAAUCCUCAGUGGACCACCGAUGGCGAAGGCAUCUGACCAGAACGGAUCUGACGGUGAGGGACGAAAGCUAGGGGAGCGAUCCGGAUUAGAUACCCGAGUAGUCCUAGCUGUAAACGCUGCGAGCAAGGUGUUGCAAAUCUUACAUGGAUUUGCAGUGUCGAAAGGAAGCUGUUAAGCUCGCCGCCUGGGGAGUACGGUCGCAAGGCUGAAACUUUAAGGAAUUGGCGGGGGAGCACUACAAGGGGUGCGGCGUGCGGUUUAAUCUAACUACACGCAGAGAACCUCACUAGAAGCGACGGCAGGAUGACGGACAAGCUGAAGACUUUUCCUGACGAGCCGAGAGGUAGUGCAUGGCCGUCGUCAGCUCGUGCUGUGAAGUGUCCAGUUAAGUCUGGCAACGAGCGUGACCUAUACCUGCUAUUGCUAACAGCCACUUCGGUGGGAUCGAGCACACUGUGGGGACUGCCUUCGUAAGAAGGAGGAAGGUGCAGGCAACGGUAGGUCUGUAUGCUCCGAAUCUUCUAGGCUACACGCGCGCAACAAUGGUAGUGACAAUGGGUCGCGACCCCGAAAGGGGAAGCCAAUCCUCGAAACAUUACCUCAGUUCGGAUUGCGGGUUGUAACUCACCCGCAUGACGCCGGAAUCCCUAGUAACCAGAGUUCAUCAAAUUCUGGUGAUAUGUCCUGCUCCUUGCACUCACCGCCCG